UCAGUGUACAGUGAAUCACUAGGCUCGCAGCUCGAGGAAGAGCAUUGCAUUAUGUGAUAACUUCUGUUAAAUGCAGGACACACAGAAUAGAGAUUACUUGAACGCAAAUGACAGUCGUGGGACCUGUGCCCGCGCUACAUCUGUCUGGGGCGAUAAAAAUAUCC
rnacentral:rRNA from 1 species